GUGCUUGCUUUGGCAGCACAUAUGCUAAAAUUGGAAUAAUACAGAAAAGAUUAGUUUGACCCCUGCACAAGAAUGACAUGCAAACUCAUGAAGCAUUCCAUAUUUUC
rnacentral:snRNA from 1 species